GUCGUCAUUGUCUGCUGGGCCGUUUGAGUUAAAGCGAGGAUUGAUUGGCUGCGAGACAUUGAAAUGUAUCUGGGCUUGUGAUGACAGGCAACUUGAUGACCUUCGUUCUCUCGUCCGUGAACGCUAGAAGAUCAAAGGGGUCCUGACUAUUCGCAAACAAUGGAUCGUAGAGGUCGGGGGCUGAAGACUGAGCAGGUGGUGGUGUUGGCUGAUGGAUACUGGUUACCGGAGACUGUGGCAUCAGGGAAUCUAGCCAGUCCGGGUCGUCCAUAUCCAUGGGCAUGUCACCGAUAUCCAUCAACUCCUGUGGAGUUUCCAUUUUCACGCCGAGAUCACAGUCCAGUGGUCCAAAAUCCAUCGGAUCCAAAGUUUCCAGAUCAAGACCCAAUUCCUGAAGGAGAAUCACAUGACCAACCAAUUUCAGAAAAGAUUCGAUAGUGAGUUUGAAAAAUAUUGUAGAACAGUUUUUCCCGAAAAUAUUAGGUCAUUGAAAAUAAAACAAAUUAUUGUUUCCACCUUGGCUUUACUACGGUUUGUAAAUAAAAUAUUUCCAUUCAACUGUGAUAUGUGGUUGAAAUAAAAGAUUGUUGGCAAUUUU
rnacentral:lncRNA from 1 species